rnacentral:rRNA from 1 species
UAAGGAAUAUUGGUCGAUGGACGCAAGUCUGAACCAGCCAUGCCGCGUGGAGGAUGAAGGCCCUCUGGGUUGUAAACUUCUUUUAUAUGGGACGAAAAAGGGUCUCCCUAGAUCAACUGACGGUACCAUGUGAAUAAGCACCGGCUAACUCCGUGCCAGCAGCCGCGGUAAUACGGAGGGUGCAAGCGUUAUCCGGAUUCACUGGGUUUAAAGGGUCCGUAGGCGGUUUAAUAAGUCAGUGGUGAAAGCCCAUCGCUCAACGAUGGAACGGCCAUUGAUACUGUUAGACUUGAAUUACAAGGAAGUAACUAGAAUAUGUAGUGUAGCGGUGAAAUGCUUAGAUAUCAAGAGGAACACCUGAGGUGAAGACGGGUUGCUGGUCUAACCCUGACGCUGAGGCGCGAAAGCCAGGGGAGCAAACG